GAUGAACGCUGGCGGCGUGCCUAAUACAUGCAAGUCGAGCGAACGGACGAGAAGCUUGCUUCUCUGAUGUUAGCGGCGGACGGGUGAGUAACACGUGGAUAACCUACCUAUAAGACUGGGAUAACUUCGGGAAACCGGAGCUAAUACCGGAUAAUAUUUUGAACCGCAUGGUUCAAAAGUGAAAGACGGUCUUGCUGUCACUUAUAGAUGGAUCCGCGCUGCAUUAGCUAGUUGGUAAGGUAACGGCUUACCAAGGCAACGAUGCAUAGCCGACCUGAGAGGGUGAUCGGCCACACUGGAACUGAGACACGGUCCAGACUCCUACGGGAGGCAGCAGUAGGGAAUCUUCCGCAAUGGGCGAAAGCCUGACGGAGCAACGCCGCGUGAGUGAUGAAGGUCUUCGGAUCGUAAAACUCUGUUAUUAGGGAAGAACAUAUGUGUAAGUAACUGUGCACAUCUUGACGGUACCUAAUCAGAAAGCCACGGCUAACUACGUGCCAGCAGCCGCGGUAAUACGUAGGUGGCAAGCGUUAUCCGGAAUUAUUGGGCGUAAAGCGCGCGUAGGCGGUUUUUUAAGUCUGAUGUGAAAGCCCACGGCUCAACCGUGGAGGGUCAUUGGAAACUGGAAAACUUGAGUGCAGAAGAGGAAAGUGGAAUUCCAUGUGUAGCGGUGAAAUGCGCAGAGAUAUGGAGGAACACCAGUGGCGAAGGCGACUUUCUGGUCUGUAACUGACGCUGAUGUGCGAAAGCGUGGGGAUCAAACAGGAUUAGAUACCCUGGUAGUCCACGCCGUAAACGAUGAGUGCUAAGUGUUAGGGGGUUUCCGCCCCUUAGUGCUGCAGCUAACGCAUUAAGCACUCCGCCUGGGGAGUACGACCGCAAGGUUGAAACUCAAAGGAAUUGACGGGGACCCGCACAAGCGGUGGAGCAUGUGGUUUAAUUCGAAGCAACGCGAAGAACCUUACCAAAUCUUGACAUCCUUUGACAACUCUAGAGAUAGAGCUUUCCCCUUCGGGGGACAAAGUGACAGGUGGUGCAUGGUUGUCGUCAGCCCGUGUCGCGAGAUGUUGGGUUAAGUCCCGCAACGAGCGCAACCCUUAAGCUUAGUUGCCAUCAUUAAGUUGGGCACUCUAAGUUGACUGCCGGUGACAAGCCGGAGGAAGGUGGGGAUGACGUCAAAUCAUCAUGCCCCUUAUGAUUUGGGCUACACACGUGCUACAAUGGACAAUACAAAGGGCAGCGAAACCGCGAGGUCAAGCAAAUCCCAUAAAGUUGUUCUCAGUUCGGAUUGUAGUCUGCAACUCGACUACAUGAAGCUGGAAUCGCUAGUAAUCGUAGAUCAGCAUGCUACGGUGAAUACGUUCCCGGGUCU
rnacentral:rRNA from 1 species